rnacentral:rRNA from 1 species
AUCUAGAGUUUGAUCCUGGCUCAGGACGAACGCUGGCGGCGUGCCUAAUACAUGCAAGUCGAGCGGACUUAUCCUUCGGGAWAGGUUAGCGGCGGACGGGUGAGUAACACGUAGGCAACCUGCCUGUAAGAUCGGGAUAACUACCGGAAACGGUAGCUAAGACCGGAUAGCUGGUUUCUCCGCAUGGGGGAAUCAUGAAACACGGGGCAACCUGUGGCUUACGGAUGGGCCUGCGGCGCAUUAGCUAGUUGGUGGGGUAAUGGCCCACCAAGGCGACGAUGCGUAGCCGACCUGAGAGGGUGAUCGGCCACACUGGGACUGANACACGGCCCANACUCCUACGGGAGGCANCAGUAGGGAAUCUUCCGCAAUGGGCGCNAGCCUGACNGANCAACGCCGCGUGAGUUGAUNANNGUUUUCGGAUCGUAAAGCNCUGUNGCCAACGAAGAACCCUCCNGAAAAUNACUGCUCUNAAGGGUUGACNGUACUUGAAAAAAAAACCCC